CUAUAAGUUGGUGAGGUGGGGCUAUAUGAAGGCGACGUGGGGCUGUAUGAAGGUGAAGUGGGACUGUAAGAUGGGGAAGUGGGGCUGUAAGAUGGAGAAGUGGGGCUAUAGGCAGGAGAAGUAGGGCUGUAGGCAGGAGAAGUAGGACUGUAAGCAGGAGAAGUAGGACUAUAACUGGGCGAUGUUGGGCUAUAGCUAGGUGAUGUUGGGCUGUAGCUCGGAGAUGUUGGGCUAUAACUGGGUGAUGUGGGUGAGUAUGAUGGACUGGUUGGAGAAUAUGCUGGACUUGUUGGGCUGUAGCCAGGGGAGCUUGGGCUAUAAGUGGGGGAAGUUGGGCUGUACCCAGGGGAUGUGGGGCUGUAGCCCGGGGAAGUGGGGCUGUAACCUGGAGAGGUCGGGCUAUAACCAGGGGAUGAUGGACUAUAACCAGGGGAUGACGGGCUGUAUCCAGGGGAUGAAGUGGG
rnacentral:lncRNA from 1 species